rnacentral:rRNA from 1 species
UGUUAAUCGGGACGAAAGGUCCUCUUGCGAAUAGUUAGAGGAAUUGACGGUACCGGAAUAGAAAGCCACGGCUAACUACGUGCCAGCAGCCGCGGUAAUACGUAGGUGGCAAGCGUUGUCCGGAAUUAUUGGGCGUAAAGCGCGCGCAGGCGGAUCAGUCAGUCUGUCUUAAAAGUUCGGGGCUUAACCCCGUGAUGGGAUGGAAACUGCUGAUCUAGAGUAUCGGAGAG